GGGAAUAUUGCACAAUGGGGCGAAAGCCUGAUGCAGCAACGCCGCGUGAGUGAUGAAGGUUUUCGGAUCGUAAAACUCUGUCCUCAAGGAAGAUAAUGACGGUACUUGAGGAGGAAGCCCCGGCUAACUACGUGCCAGCAGCCGCGGUAAUACGUAGGGGGCUAGCGUUAUCCGGAUUUACUGGGCGUAAAGGGUGCGUAGGCGGUCUUUCAAGUCAGAAGUUAAAUUUUACGGCUCAACCGUAGCCAGCUUUUGAAACUGGAAGACUUGAGUGCAGGAGAGGAGAGUAGAAUUCCUAGUGUAGCGGUGAAAUGCGUAGAUAUUAGGAGGCAUACCAGUAGCGAAGGCGGCUCUCUGGACUGUAACUGACGCUGAGGCACGAAAGCGUGGGGAGCGAACAGGAUUAGAUACCCUGGUAGUCCACGCCGUAAACGAUGAGUACUAGGUGUCGGGGGUUACCCCCCUCGGUGCCGCAGCUAACGCAUUAAGUACUCCGCCUGG
rnacentral:rRNA from 1 species